AAAUUGAAGAGUUUGAUCAUGGCUCAGAUUGAACGCUGGCGGCAGGCCUAACACAUGCAAGUCGAACGGUAACAGGAAGCAGCUUGCUGCUUCGCUGACGAGUGGCGGACGGGUGAGUAAUGUCUGGGAAACUGCCUGAUGGAGGGGGAUAACUACUGGAAACGGUGGCUAAUACCGCA
rnacentral:rRNA from 7 species